rnacentral:lncRNA from 10 species
GGGGCAUGUGAGACUUGUCUGCUUCCCCUUCAACUUCCACCAUGAUUGAAAGUUUCCUGAGGUCUCCCCAGCCAUGCUUCCUGUCCAUCCUAUGGAGCUUAACAUGGGUGGAACUGGAAGCCAUUAUCAUAAGUGAAAUAACUCAGAAAGUCAAAUACUGGAUGCUCUCAUUUAUAGGCUUGACUCCUGAAUCACAUUCCCCAUGUUCAUUGCUUGGUAAAAACAAUAGAUCUCAUCAGGAUUGUGUUUCAACAGCAGGAUUGCUCCAGCCAGCAGGCUCUCAUCUGAGUUCCUACGGCACACUUCUGGAUAGACUACAAGAAUUUAAGUUCACAUUGCGCCACUUUCUAGCAUAUGAUCUUAAAAAGCCACCCCAACCUCUGGCACCACCACUCUGAUCAGACAGCAGCCAUCAACAUCUAGUCGAGACCCUCCACUAGCAAAGAGAUUAUGACUCACUGAAGGCUCAGAUGAUCAUGAAUAAUUUUCAGAAAUAAAGUACUUUUAAAUUCAGAUGGAGUCUUGCUCUGUUGCCCAGGCUGGAGCACAAUCUCAGUUCACUGAAACCUCCGCCUCCUGGAUUCAAGCAAUUCUCCUGCCUCAGCCUCCUGAGUAGCUGGGAUUGCAGCUACAAUGCCACCAGGUGAUCGGAAUUUUUCAGCUCCAUUAAAAUCUUAUGAGACCAUCACUGAAUAUGUGGUCCGUCAUUGACCAAAACAUCAUGAUGCAGCUCAUGACUAUAGUUCUGUCUCAGAAGAUCCAGGAAAUAGUAGGUUCCUCCGAGGCCGGAAGCCCAUUCAGUAUCUUAGCCAAUGGCAUGUCUUAUAGAUAGAUACAAAUAGUGCAGCCUUUUGCCGAAGAAAUGAUAUCUUGUUUCCUUUGCCAGGAGCUGUGUGCUUGCAACAGUAAUAUAAAUGUGCAGCCCACAUUAGGUACUCAAACAACUUGUCAUUUGUUUGAAAAGGAGCCCUUUAUUUGACUAGAAGAAACAGGAGCCAAAUGAGCUUGAUUCCUUCUCAUGCCAGCCAGCAAUGCAAUUACAGGAAUGGGGACUGGGGAAGGACAAAUUGAUCAGUCACCCAUGCACAUAGGUGCAGGGGCUAUGUACUUGAAGUGGUUGGUUGUGGUUGGGACCCUGCCUUGGUCUGUUAAUUACAUAUUGCAAAAUGGGAUCUCAUAAGUGACUGUAAUUCAUUGGUAAUUUCUUGAGAAAUUACAAUUUUUGACAGGAAAGUUUUUUUUCUUUGUGUCCCCUGAUAAAUUCUCCUGGUUUGUAAAAUCUUUAGAAUUCAUAAUCCUUAGGUAAUGCACUUUGUAGAAACAGCAGGAAUGUGAGGAUUUGCAAACCUCCUUUUCUUCACUGAUGAGUAUAAAAAUGCUGCAGUUUACUUCAACUGUUGAAAGUGGAACUUUCUCCAUAUUUAAGCAGUGGUGUUCUCUUUUCAUGCUGAAAAGCAAUGAAUUGUCAAAAAUGGACAUCUUGCCAUGAAUAAAGAUGACAACUGAGUAGGUGACUCAGAAAUGUGCCUGACAAGAGAGAAAUGGUUUGAAUAUAGAGUGUAUAUAUACUCUUCUACUAAAAACUUGGGAGACCAAACAAGUCUGAUUGCAAUGGGUAACCAACAAACAGGUACAGGGGCAGUAGAUCUCAGUAUGUUCUCAUGAUUCCCAAAUUGCCAACCAAACCUCUUCUGUGUGCUCUUGUUUGUGAGACUAAGAUUCAGCUCUCUUCAGACUAAGAUCACAGCUUGGGUGUGAUUUGAUCCUGCUUCAAGCUGGCAAAGCCUCAGAAGCCCUCUACCAUCAGAAUCCUGCUCAGAGGAAAUAGCUGGAGACCAUUCUUGAAGAACUGUCAUCUUUAGUACUGGAAUUAAGUGUCCUGUUUGGGUCUCACUGACAUGCUAUUCCAGAGACACUCACUGGCUUCUGAAAGCUCAUUCUGGGAUCUGGGAAUGAAACAGAAUUCAGGGAGGAAGCCUUAGAAGAGCCUUAUGUUCAGAGAGACCCUGUGUCCUCUUAAGGGAGCAUCAUUGGUAAACUUCCUACUUCUCAAUUUCCUUAUCUGUAAAAGUUGUUGAAUGAGUUAAAUAGUAUGAUAUGGAAUUCAUAAAGAACUCAAGAUUACCUGCUAUUACUGUGUAAUAUAUUGUUUAUAUUUACAGCACAUACAAAGUACCAGUUUUUCCAUUGUUAAUGUGGAUGUGAAUGUUGCCCUAAAAUAAUCUUGUCUUUUGAUUUGUUAUUCUUCAUCUAUCCUUGCUUCUAUCAUUAUUAAAAAUUUAUCUAUGAAUAAAUUUAGAGAGGAAAUGGAAGUCAUUAUAAAGUUGCAUGUUCAAGCACGGCAAUGAUUCGUAAUUGUCCCAACAGUUAAGUGUACAUCAGUACAGCCCUAACCACACUCACUAAGGCUUUUACACUGAUUACAGAGAUUGUGGGUGCUGAGUUUUCCCCAUGUGUUGCCAUAAAUCUGCUUUUCCUUUCACUUAAGAAGGUACUUAGAAACACAAGAGUGUAAGAAUGAUGUUAUCAAAGACUAACAUUAUAAUCCUUCUAUUCUAUGGAAAAAACAAUUAUUUGUGAAUUUCUGCCAUACUUCACAGCUGGCGAUGGGUCAUGAGAGCUCACUGCCAGACGCCAAGAGCCUGGCUAAGACAAAUGAGAGAAGAAAACUUCUAAGCACGGUGAUGGCAGAAGUGUGUGCCAAUUUGAGUAAUGCUUUUUCUCACAUACUUUCUAUUUUUCCUCUGUCUGGGAACUAGUGCAAGAAAUCUAAAAGAGGAAAACCAGCCUGUUUUCUCUCACUUAUUUGAAUUUACUAGUGUUUGCAAUAGUGUUAAUUUCUGGCUUUAACUGAAGAAUGUUUUUUUGCAGUUUAUUCUCUCAUUUUUCAUUCAUUUAUCCUUUUAUCAACCAGUAUUUCCCUUCCUUUUUUGAGAGGGUUCCUGCAUUAAAUGCUGCAGCUUACUAGGACAAUUCCUGUUCCCCCCAGGAGUUUACAUUCUUCAUGUAAUUCAUAAAAACUUGUCCAUCCACCUUAAUUUAAACAAAUAGUUCUCAGUGGUGCUAGUGGUGGGAGUAAAGGGCUGCUCCCAGAAGACAUUCUUUGGCAAUGUCUGAAGACAUUUGUAAUGACUGAGGGAGGGAGUGCUCCUGGCAUGCCAAGUAGUGAAGAAAUGCUGCUAGAUAAUUCUAGAAUGCUCAGGAGAGCUCUGGGGUAACGUAAAGUAUUAUCCGGUCCCAAAUGAGAAACCCUGUUCUAAACUUUUGCUUGGAACAAGUUUUAUCCUUUACUUAGCACAAUUCUUUAUGUAUAAUAAAGGGAUUUGCCACUUGUUCAUCAACUAAAAGAGGUUCCUAACAUAUUUUAUAGCAUUUCAUAAAUAUUUGUCAAAAGGAUUAAUAUUAAACUGGAUUAAAUUUAAUAAUGCAAUAUAAAGAAUAAUGAUGUGGGGAGUAAAACUGGGUCUGUAUUUUUACUCCAUAAUUUAAUGUUCUGUAGCUUUGAUCAAGUUGUAUACUAAUAUAGGAUAUUAGUACUCACUACUGUACUUAGAUUUGAAUAAAGUAUAAUGUAUGUACAUAAUAGUUUCUUAUAUGAUGUAUUUCUUGUCUCUUCUACGGCUAAAUCCAUUUUGAAAGGGUGAAUGGAUAACUUUUUGAAUUGAUAAUCCUAUAUUAGAUAUCCCACAACGUAUUAUUUUUGGGGUUAUGUGUUCAAUUUUCUUUAGAAUGACAUCUUUUGUGAAAUCAAGGUUAUUCUGCCUACUGUUUUCUUUUUAUUGUUGUUGCAGCCUUACAGUAGAAGGAGUGAGUUUGUAUUUGGGUCUAUAUGCUGUUACCUGUUCUUUGUGUGCAAAAAUGUAAGCACUAAAUGUUCCAGAUGGUACCACAGAUGC